AUUGAACGCUGGCGGCAGGCCUAACACAUGCAAGUCGAGCGGAGCGGCGGACGGGUGAGUAAUGCCUAGGAAUCUGCCUGGUAGUGGGGGAUAACGUCCGGAAACGGGCGCUAAUAUCGCAUACUAUCAGAUGAGCCUAGGUCGGAUUAGCUAGUUGGUGGGGUAAAGGCCUACAAAGGCGACGGUCCGUAACUGGUCUGAGAGGAUGAUCAGUCACAUUGGAACUGAGACCAGGUCAAGAGUCCUACGGGAGGCGGCAGUGGGAAAUAUUGGAAAAGGGGCGAAAGCCUGAUCCAGCCAUGCCGGGUGUGGGAAGAAGGUCUUCGGAUUGUAAAGUACGUUAAGUGGGGCGGCGUUACCAACAGAAUAAGCACCGGCUAACUUCGUGCCAGCAGCCGCGGGAAUAC
rnacentral:rRNA from 1 species